CUCAGCUCCAGCUGCACUGCAUCUUCUGAACAUAUCCAUGAAAUGUUUGAUGUUGAAACGUGCAUCGUUGAAGAUGAAGAAAAAAUCAUCAACAACACGGCCGUCUCGUCGCAUUUUCUUCUCGUAGUCUCAUCGUAAAAGCGGCACGACUACCAGGACUUCACCGAGUCUACCAUGGAUACGUCUUCGACCUCCGGAAACGGCUGACAUCUGGUCGAUGCGCGAGCAGAGGAGCCCGCGAUGCGGUGAUAUUCAUGCACGAUGUUUAUACACGGCGUCCGUCUUCGGUUCCAUUAACGGCAGGCUUUCGGCGAGGUGAUUCAAGGAUAUAAAAAUCCGCCGUCGCUGGGCAUCGGGAAUACUCCAAGUCUGGGACCCGCAUUCCUAGAGACCGGGACUGGAUCGGAGGGCGAGUCGAAGCCUGUCCGGCCUGGCACGAAUCCGUUUCGGGUUCUCCUCGUGUCACUCGUCCAGGAAGAAGAUGAUUCAUCGCGUCCGCGUACCGGCGCCAAAGACCUGCAAGGCUGCAUGUAACGACGAUCGCGUGUGCGGUGUACCUGCAGUUCGAAGCCUCGGACGUGCUCGGGGAAGUUGGUGUUCUGUUACCCCAGGGGUAAACCGGAGACCUCGAAUCGAACAACUUGCGUUACCAACUAGCCCAACACACCGGGAACGAUUCCCUGCAGCUGUCGGCCGAACCGGGAGAAAAAUCCCCGGUGUUUCAGAACGGCAGACCUGUGCAAUCAAAAUAUCUGCAAGCGGACCUUGAACCCUCCACCACUUUGCGUUCUCAGAAAACUUUGAUGGUUCAGAAUGAGACGAGGGAAUACGACGACGCGUCAGCUGUCGACGGGGUCCCGAGUACGACUAGAAGACGUACAUGUCAUCGUGGAAGGAAGGAGGGCAGGAAUCGCGGUUGGAAUUCUGAAGCAUUUGCACGUACGAUGACUGGCAGGUUUAUUGCGCAAAGAAGAAGUUGAGCGUUACAGGCGUGCGGCAGGGUGGAGGGGGGAAUUUUGCUAAACGGCUGGUGUAGUUGCUGCAGUAGCGUCGCGACGUCGCGGUUCGUCCUCCUCCCUCGCGGUGCAGGAUGGAUCUUUUAGCAUUCCGGUGCACGGAGUGCGACUUUUGACGACCAACUUUUACCUACCGGAGAAACGGUCUGGCCUUCACUUCACCUCUUCUCCCCGCCUCUGCAUAAUCCAUGGAGGGUGUAAGAGCUGCAGUUUAGUGCACCAUGGAAGGCGGGCGAAACGACGUGGAUGCAGUCGCGGCGUUGCCGAGGAGCUGCAAGAAUUCUUGAUGAAAAGGACUAGGAGGUGUGACUUGGGCAACACGUGCAAAUAACAGUCAGUGGUCUUCGUCCCCAAAUCCUUGCCAAGUUCCGCUUCUCUCUCUCUCUCUCUCUCUCCAUCUCUCUCCAUCUCUACAGUUCCAGGCGCCGUCCUACCACUCGGACUGAUCCAUUCCGGAGGUUGUAAACCCGCAGACCAGCCGAGGAUGUCCCUCGAAGUAGAAAUUACUCCGUGAAACUGAAGACACCUUUAUUAGAUAUUGUUUGCGCUGAUGAACGUUCCCGAGUGCACGGAGUAACUUCCACCAGGAAACGCGUCCGUACACCGGCGUGCCGAAGACCUCUAGUUAUUAUCCGAGACGUCUAGGCUGCAUCGGACUCCUUUCGUACGACCGACAAGAGUGAUGACAAAGCGCGAGAGGAGAGACAAACACGAGGGGGAACGAGUCACGCUCAUUUAUGAAUUCUCCUUUGUUUAGCGUUACUCCGGACGCGAAUCAGCGACCUGGCAACAACGAAUCAAGGAAUUUGUUCCGGGUGCCAGUACCUACCCUGUUCCACGACGGGGUACAAGAGCUAUGGGAUUCACGCCGAGAUUGAAGAGCCCGCUACACAAUGACAAUUCGAAAUUGAAUUCGAUCCUUGACUCUCUCUCUCUCUCUCUUUCUUUCUCUCUCUCUCUCUCUCUCCAUCUCUUCCCCCUUCUCUUUUUCCCGCCUCGAGUACCGUCUGUACACAAGAUUGCUACAGACAUCAUCCUAUUAACAACUUAACCUCUGCAGGUUACACCGAGUACACGUGUUGCGUACGUGUAACAGUUAUUUCAUAGCCGACGUGCAAGAGACACGGUUCUUCUCAUACUUUGAACUUUCAAUUAGCUCUACUUGUGGUCCGUAAACGGAAAUUGCGUUUUAUUACGAGUAAAAGA
rnacentral:lncRNA from 1 species